rfam:Triticum aestivum genome assembly, contig: Triticum_aestivum_CS42_TGACv1_scaffold_222848_3B
GUAGUAUUCCCUCCGUCCCAAAAUUCUUGUCUUACAUUUGUAUCUAACACUAAAAUGUAACUAGAUACAUCCGUAUUUAGACAAAUUUUAGACAAGAAUUUUGGGACGGGGGGAGUACAAA